rnacentral:tRNA from 1 species
GGGGUUGUGGCUCAGCAGUAGGGCGCUCACCUCACAUGUGUGAGGCCCUGGGUUCAAUCCUUAGCACCA